rnacentral:rRNA from 1 species
GACGAACGCUGGCGGCGUGCCUAAUACAUGCAAGUCGAGCGCAGGAAAUCGACGGAACCCUUCGGGGGGAAGUCGACGGAAUGAGCGGCGGACGGGUGAGUAACACGUAAAGAACCUGCCCUCAGGUCUGGGAUAACCACGAGAAAUCGGGGCUAAUACCGGAUGGGUCAUCGGACCGCAUGGUCCGAGGAUGAAAGGCCCUUCGGCUGCGCCCGGGGCUGGCUUUGCGGUGCAUUAGCUAGUUGGUGGGGUAAUGGCCCACCAAGGCGACGAUGCAUAGCCGACCUGAGAGGGUGAUCGGCCACACUGGGACUGAGACACGGCCCAGACUCCUACGGGAGGCAGCAGUAGGGAAUCUUCCACAAUGGACGAAAGUCUGAUGGAGCAACGCCGCGUGAACGAUGAAGGCCUUCGGGUCGUAAAGUUCUGUUGUAAGGGAAGAACAAGUGCCGCAGGCAAUGGCGGCACCUUGACGGUACCUUGCGAGAAAGCCACGGCUAACUACGUGCCAGCCGCCGCAGUAA